UACGGAGGGUGCAAGCGUUAAUCGGAAUUACUGGGCGUAAAGCGCACGCAGGUGGCUGAGCCAGUCGAUUGUGAAAGCCCUGGGCUUAACCUGGGAAUUGCAGUCGAUACUACUCAGCUAGAGUAUGGGAGAGGGUAGUGGAAUUCCCGGUGUAGCGGUGAAAUGCGUAGAUAUCGGGAGGAAUACCGGUGGCGAAGGCGGCAUCCUGGACCAUAACUGACGCUGAGGCGCGAAAGCUAGGGGAGCAAACGGGG
rnacentral:rRNA from 1 species